GUCGAGAAUCUUCCGCAAUGCGCGAAAGCGUGACGGAGCGACACCGCGUGAUGGAUGAAGUCCUUCGGGGCGUAAACAUCUUUUAUAAAGGAGGAAAUUUUUGACGUUACUUUAUGAAUAAGGGGCUCCCAAUCUCGUGCCAGCAGGAGCGGUAAUACGAGAGCCUCAAGCGUUAUCCGGAAUCAUUGGGCGUAAAGGGUGCGUAGGUGGUUUGAUUAGUCUCCCGUUAAAACUUCGAGCUUAACUCGAAAAGAGCGGGGGAAACGGUCAAACUAGAGUAUGUGAGAGGUGUGUGGAACUCAUGGUGUAGGGGUGAAAUCCGUUGAUAUCAUGGGGAACACCAAAAGCGAAGGCAGCACACUGGCACAUCACUGACACUGAGGCACGAAACCUAAGGUAGCGAAUGGGAUUAGAUACCCCAGUAGUCC
rnacentral:rRNA from 1 species